GUCACGCCAGCGGUCACGGCCCACGGGACAAGCGCUCAGCUGUCAGGCAGCAGCAGGUGUCAUGGAGGGGCCCUGGUGGUGGACUGGUGGUAGAAAUGUUUACGUUUUGUUCUUCAUUGGACAAACAAUGUGAUGUGGACGUGUUGUGGUGCCUUGACGUGGGCGUCGCUGCCGUGAGCAGGAUGGAAGGAGCAAGGAAGGGACGUCAGCUGCUGGCUGAGGCUGCUGGACCACUUGUCACCACUCCCUUCCCUUUACUUUGACGCUCAGUUGGUGGCCCAAAGGAGGAAGAUGGAAGCAUGGACAUUUAACCAUCGUCAACUGUCGUAUAGAAGUUCUGGAUGUGGACAGCAGCACAGUGUCAUCCAUCAGGACUAACACAUGGAGACGGGCAAGGCAUCCAUCAGCGCCACAGUUUUGCUUGAUAAGAGUUAUUAAAUCAUUAACAAAAAUAACAAACAGUAAGCAAGAUGAGGAGCAGCCCUGAUGUACAACAGUCGAGGCAGUGACAAUUGCUACACCAACUAGCUAUACAUUGUGUUAACUUGUACACAGUGACUAUAGCGAGCAACAUUACCAUCCCACAACCCAGUCUCUUCAAAAUACAAAAUAAUGUGUUUCUUGGUAAGUUAUCCUAUGCGCGGGUAAAAUAUACAAAAGUAAUAAAAAGCUGAAAUUUGUUCCUUGUAGCAACAUCUGUCAACAAACGCAGUGCGACAAUGUGUUCAAGGCAUCCUGUGCCCACCACCUGGCUCCCUGCCUGCUGUCUGUCAGCCUUGAACCAAUGGCUUAGUCUGUUGCAAAGCACCAUGCCACACAGCUUUGUCAUGCUGUUCAUUACUGUGAGGUUGGGUUAGGUUAGGUCGAUUACUGUUAUGCCUCCAUCAUUGUUAGCCAAACCACGGGAACCUCGCUCGGAAGUGGUGAAGAGUUUGGCAGUCACCCAUGGCCUGGGAUAUGUUGCAGAUAUAAAAAUCUUGUUAAAUAGCAUUGUUAUACAUAAGAGCCAUGUCACACACAGAAAGAUGAUUGAACAACCCUGGCAGCACACCACACCCUUGCUAAUGUCAAUGAAAUGGUCUCAUGGUACACAAAACUCAAGGUAAAAAUGUGUCCCAGUACUGAAGGGGUUAAAAUAGUGAAGACUGUGGCCAUGGCAUUAAUCUUGUAUCCUCUAUAGGCCUUUCUUAAUGUCAAUAAAAUGGUCUAAUGGUAAACAAAUUUCUAGGUAGAAGUGUGU